rnacentral:tRNA from 2 species
GGAAUAUCAAGACCAAGUAAAAGCUUCUAACUUUUUUUUAAGCGGUUUAAUUCCGUUUAUAUUCCU